rnacentral:rRNA from 1 species
CCUACGGGAGGCAGCAGUGAGGAAUAUUGGUCAAUGGGCUUACGCCUGAACCAGCCAAGUCGCGUGAGGGAAGACUGCCCUAUGGGUUGUAAACCUCUUUUGUCAGGGAGCAACGCCGGCUACGUGUAGCCCGACUGAGAGUACCUGAAGAAAAAGCAUCGGCUAACUCCGUGCCAGCAGCCGCGGUAAUACGGAGGAUGCGAGCGUUAUCCGGAUUUAUUGGGUUUAAAGGGUGCGUAGGCGGAAUGCCAAGUCAGCGGUAAAAUCGCGGGGCUCAACCUCGCUCCGCCGUUGAAACUGGCGUUCUUGAGUGGGCGAGAAGUAUGCGGAAUGCGUGGUGUAGCGGUGAAAUGCAUAGAUAUCACGCAGAACUCCGAUUGCGAAGGCAGCAUACCGGCGCCCAACUGACGCUGAAGCACGAAAGCGUGGGUAUCGAACAGGAUUAGAUACCCUUGUAGUC